rnacentral:tRNA from 1 species
ACUCUCUUAGUAUAAAUAAUAUAACUGACUUCCAAUCAGUAGAUUCUGAAAAUACUCAGAAGAGAGUA